AUACAAUGGAGAGUUUGAUCCUGGCUCAGGAUGAACGCUAGCGGGAGGCCUAACACAUGCAAGCCGAGCGGUAGAGUAUC
rnacentral:rRNA from 1 species